rnacentral:lncRNA from 1 species
ACAGGAGGAGCCUGCAGCGGAGGAGCCUCCUCCUCCUCAGCAUCAGACCUAAAGGGAGUGUCCUGCCUGAAGGACCGGCUCAAGGUCGCACUAACAGCUCUUGCUAACUCCUGUUCCAGGCUGUUUAUCUGGGCCUCCAAGUACCCUGCUUGCGCCUGGAGGUCUCUCACCCCCAGGUCCUGCUCAAAGCUGUGCACUUGGGCCCCCAGGCAUGCGGCUUGCUCCGGAAGGUCCCUUACCUGUGGCACUGAGCAUGUACUUCCUGCAGUGCAGUUAGAAAUGCCCAUCCGACUCUGCUUGCAAAGUUCCUUUAUUUAUAGGCACAGCUGCUUAAAGACUGUUACCGGAAAGGAAUCCUGAUCCAGACGCCAAGAGAGGGUUCUUGGACUCAUGCAAGAAAGACUUCAGCUGGCUGCAGAUGACAGUGACACCCUGGGAGUUGAGAAAUGCUUGUAAGAUGGAAGGAGGCUGUGUCCCUGAAUGAUCACCUGGAAGAGAGCCACCUUAGCCAAUGAAACUCCUGCUAUGAAUGUUUGCUGAGCAAGAAAUAUACUUACUGCUUUAUAUGCCUUUGAAGCUAUAGGUUCAUAUUGUUACCACAAUUUAAAGUGCUAUAAUAAAAAGAGUUCAGGAAGCAGGCACAUGGAAGCAAUAAGAGCAACAAACAUUUACACAGUUCUCAGGUCCCUGGACCAUGAAGGGCCACAUCCAAGGAGCUACCCCAGGAGGCCUCUCAUUUGCAUUUGUCCCCGCUAAUGCAGGACAGAGAUCAUGGAAGUUGGGCCCGACUGGAUGAGAUUUGGGGGUCUUUGGAAGUGGAGAAUGUGUUUGCCCUGGGGAAGAGAGGUGAUGUCUAGGAGACCUCUUCACUCAGGGCAAGCUCUAUGACCUGCUUUGACUCCAGAAUGUGGUAGAAGUGGCAUCACAUAAAUUGCAGAGCCUAGGCUUCAAGAGACCUUGCAACUUGCCUCUCACUGACUUGAAGUGCUCCCAUCAGAGCAUCUUGUAAGGAGCAGGUGGAGCAUGUGGACAAGCCAUCCCCACCAGCCCCUGAGACAUGUGAGAGAGGCCAGAACAGGCCAUCCGGACCCCACUGUGCUGGUGGAUGAGACAGCAGAAGGAAUAUCAACCUACCAACAGAAUCCUGAGAAAUGCUCACUCUUACUUCAAGCUGCUGCAUUUUGAUGUUAUGAAACCAUAAAUAACUUAUGAAGUCAUCUUUGCUGACUUAAAGUUUUCCAUAACUUUAUUAUAACAUAUCAAAAUUAUGAAAAAUGUGAAAAGUAGAAAACUGAUGAAUUUUGCUUCUUCAUAUGGUCUUUAAGAAUCUCAAAGGCACUGAAGUUUUUUAUCUUUUCUGUCUUAGAAUAAAAAACCUUGAAUGAAAA